UUCAUCUUUAUUUCUCUCCCUUCGCAUCUCUUGCACCAUUUUAUUCGAUUCAAGGAUAAACGUUUAGAUUUUUUUUCUUUAUCUCAAUUCCAUUCGCUCUAUACUUACAAUAUAUGUGAUCCUCUUUGCUGGAAACAAAAUGAAGAUGUUAUUAGAUUAUAGUCAAGUUCCUAACCGAAUCUAUCAAAAAAGGAAUGGAAGAUAAAGAGCUCUUAUAUCCCGAAGUUGCGAAGUCAUGUCAAAGAUAAACUUGGAAUAACUCUCGGCAUAUUAAAGUUAUUAUCGUGGAUGAAAAGGAAGGAGAGUGUUAAACACCACUUUAUCAUUGCUGAAAUUGCUGCAGUGAUAUUAUGGAGGUAUUGUGACAUUAUGAGGAUUCAAACUGGAAGAAGAUUCAAGGAGCAAUAGAGGAAGAGAAAAAAAAAACAGACACGUAGAAUAAGAGAAAGAAAUAGGAGGUAAUCUAGAAGCUCUCAUUAGUAGAAAA